rnacentral:rRNA from 1 species
UACGAAGGGGACUAGCGUUGUUCGGAAUCACUGGGCGUAAAGCGCACGUAGGCGGAUGUGUCAGUCAGGGGUGAAAUCCCGGGGCUCAACCUCGGAACUGCCUUUGAUACAGCACGUCUCGAGUCCGGAAGAGGUGGGUGGAAUUCCUAGUGUAGAGGUGAAAUUCGUAGAUAUUAGGAAGAACACCGGUGGCGAAGGCGGCCCACUGGUCCGGUACUGACGCUGAGGUGCGAAAACGUGGGGAGCAAACAGG